CUCAACUCUACACCUUACUGUACAUAGUGAGAUACACAACACUGAUUCUCACUGUAGUUACAGCAGGCAGUUUUGCAGAUAAAAUUGAACCAACAGAUAAAGAUGCAAACAUUAUUAGAAAGGAAACAGACACUGUUACUCUGAAAUGUUCAUAUGAGUCAGGCAGUGAAAACAUUCGACUUUACUGGUACAAACAAUAUCCUAACAGCACACCACAGUUUUUAUUGUAUAAAGGCGCAAGGUCACUUAGUUUGG